AUUAAUAGAAAAUUUAAUGGUUUAGCGUUAGAACCAGAAUCACUGCCGGAUGAUGAAACUUGGAGAAGCUUGCCAGAAUGGAAGCGUCAAGUUUUAAAAAAUCGCAUCAUGAAGGAACAGUCUGCAGAACUCGAGAAGAGAAAAAAAGAAGAAGAAGUGAGCAAUAAAUGGGAAGGAGUUCCUGCCUGGAAAAUACCCAUCAUGCAGCGCAGGGAACUUGACAGGAUAAGAGAAGAUGAGAAGAACUCAAGCAUGCCUGCCUGGAGGAAACAACUCGCACAAAAGAAACAAGAAAAAGUCAACAAGCAAGAUUAAAACCAAGAAGAAAACUACGUUCAAGUAAAUUCAAAAUACAAGCCUUUUUUCUUGGAAAUUUUUUUGUAGUAGUUUUGUUUAGUUCGCUUAGCUUCGUUAGUUAUUCUAGGAUAGAUUUCUUUCUUCUAGAGUUACACAUGAGAUAAUCACGACUUCAAAGCGGAUUAACCCAAGUCCACGCAUGCGCCCUACGAUAGUUGCUGUUGCUUGAGAUUGUUUGCAUAUUAAGCUAUGUACUCGAUUCAACUGAAAUAUUAUUACUAGCCAAUAGAAUUAAUUAUCAUUGAUACUAGUUCUGUUCAUCUUAGAGUGCACGCACUAAACCCGUGAAACAAAUACUAACUUUUAGUACUAAAUGGUGAUAAAUAAACAAUAGAAAACAAAGGAUUCUGUAUGAAAUAGUACUAAUUAGUACUAAUUAAUGUUAACGGAUUUAGUGCGUGCACUCUAGUACUGAGCAGUGAAUACUUCAAUUUAUCGUUAAUAGCCGCUCAUUACUGACCGUGCGUGUAUUUCUACAAAAAGAGAUGUAUUCACUACAAUAAACAUGUUGGUUUAGCCUGGUUUUGGCUUCUAAAAGACUCUCGUUAUGAUUUACCGCGAUGACUCAUAAGACAAGCGCCUUUGAAACAGUUUUAUUUCCAAAGGCGAAAUUGUCUGUGUACUCAAUAUAGACAACUACGUGCAUGGGAUUAUAACCGUUAGUAUAGAUACGUGAUGCAUGAUAAUGUAUGAAUACAUUCUACCACAUUACUCCUUGCAAAAUAAAUAUAUUAUAGUCACUG